rnacentral:rRNA from 1 species
ACGCUAGCUACAGGCUUAACACAUGCAAGUCGAGGGGCAGCAUUUUAGUUUGCUUGCAAACUGAAGAUGGCGACCGGCGCACGGGUGAGUAACACGUAUCCAACCUGCCGAUAACUCCGGGAUAGCCUUUCGAAAGAAAGAUUAAUACCGGAUAGUAUACGAAUAUCGCAUGAUAUUUUUAUUAAAGAAUUUCGGUUAUCGAUGGGGAUGCGUUCCAUUAGUUUGUUGGCGGGGUAACGGCCCACCAAGACUACGAUGGAUAGGGGUUCUGAGAGGAAGGUCCCCCACAUUGGAACUGAGACACGGUCCAAACUCCUACGGGAGGCAGCAGUGAGGAAUAUUGGUCAAUGGGCGCGAGCCUGAACCAGCCAAGUAGCGUGAAGGAUGAAGGCUCUAUGGGUCGUAAACUUCUUUUAUAUGGGAAUAAAGCUUUCCACGUGUGGAAUUUUGUAUGUACCAUAUGAAUAAGGAUCGGCUAACUCCGUGCCAGCAGCCGCGGUAAUACGGAGGAUCCGAGCGUUAUCCGGAUUUAUUGGGUUUAAAGGGAGCGUAGGUGGAUUGUUAAGUCAGUUGUGAAAGUUUGCGGCUCAACCGUAAAAUUGCAGUUGAAACUGGCAGUCUUGAGUACAGUAGAGGUGGGCGGAAUUCGUGGUGUAGCGGUGAAAUGCUUAGAUAUCACGAAGAACUCCGAUUGCGAAGGCAGCUCACUAGACUGUCACUGACACUGAUGCUCGAAAGUGUGGGUAUCAAACAGGAUUAGAUACCCUGGUAGUCCACACAGUAAACGAUGAAUACUCGCUGUUUGCGAUAUACAGUAAGCGGCCAAGCGAAAGCAUUAAGUAUUCCACCUGGGGAGUACGCCGGCAACGGUGAAACUCAAAGGAAUUGACGGGGGCCCGCACAAGCGGAGGAACAUGUGGUUUAAUUCGAUGAUACGCGAGGAACCUUACCCGGGCUUAAAUUGCAACAGAAUAUAUUGGAAACAGUAUAGCCGUAAGGCUGUUGUGAAGGUGCUGCAUGGUUGUCGUCAGCUCGUGCCGUGAGGUGUCGGCUUAAGUGCCAUAACGAGCGCAACCCUUAUCUUUAGUUACUAACAGGUUAUGCUGAGGACUCUAGAGAGACUGCCGUCGUAAGAUGUGAGGAAGGUGGGGAUGACGUCAAAUCAGCACGGCCCUUACGUCCGGGGCUACACACGUGUUACAAUGGGGGGUACAGAAGGCGGCUACCUGGUGACAGGAUGCUAAUCCCAAAAACCUCUCUCAGUUCGGAUCGAAGUCUGCAACCCGACUUCGUGAAGCUGGAUUCGCUAGUAAUCGCGCAUCAGCCAUGGCGCGGUGAAUACGUUCCCGGGCCUUGUACACACCGCCCGUCAAGCCAUGAAAGCCGGGGGUACAAGAAGUACGUAACCGCAAGGAGCGUCCUAGGGUAAAACUGG